CCUACGGGGUGCAGCAGUGGGGAAUAUUGGACAAUGGGCGAAAGCCUGAUCCAGCCAUGCCGCGUGUGUGAAGAAGGCCUUCGGGUUGUAAAGCACUUUCAGUGGGGAAGAAAGCCUUGGGGCUAAUACCCUCGAGGAAGGACAUCACCCACAGAAGAAGCACCGGCUAACUCCGUGCCAGCAGCCGCGGUAAUACGGAGGGUGCGAGCGUUAAUCGGAAUUACUGGGCGUAAAGCGCGCGUAGGCGGUCUGAUAAGCCGGUUGUGAAAGCCCCGGGCUCAACCUGGGAACGGCAUCCGGAACUGUCAGGCUAGAGUGCAGGAGAGGGAGGUAGAAUUCCCGGUGUAGCGGUGAAAUGCGUAGAGAUCGGGAGGAAUACCAGUGGCGAAGGCGGCCUUCUGGACUGACACUGACGCUGAGGUGCGAAAGCGUGGGUAGCAAACAGGAUUAGAUACCCUUGUAGUC
rnacentral:rRNA from 1 species